CCGCAAAAAGGGGCAAAUCUGCUUUCCGGGCCGGGGCAGCCGUGGUCGGCACGCCUGCAGCGGUCUCAGCGACCCAAAUUCUGCGGGGCGGUGGUGGUGGGAGGAAGGGUUGGAGCCCCAGCAGGUUGUCUGGGCUUCGUUUGCUUUUCGGCAAGGUCCUGGCCCAGGCCCCAGUCCCUCUUGGAGCGGAAGCCUCUGGACCUGUUGCUCCUAAGAAAGCAAGCGGCCCCUGACGCGUUGCUGUGGCCUGGUUUGACCCUCGUAGCCAGCCCAUGUUCUGUGAGGCAUGAAGCGCCACGCAGACACCACGACAAAGUGAGAUGAACUAAGACCUCUUCUUGAUUCUAAGCAGGGAACGCACAGCUCACCCUGUCACAUGCAGCGAUCAUAAGCUGAGAAUUACCCUCUUCCUUCCCACAGCGUCUAAUCUUUUUUUAUGUUUUUGUGGCAAGGUCUCGCUUAGUCGCCCAGGCUGGAGCGCAGUGGCGAUCAUGGCCCACUGCGGCCUCGACCUCCUGGGCUCCAGCGUGCGUCUAAUCUAGAACCAAAUCCUCCUUCCUUAGAUCAUCCCCCAAAUCACCCAACUACAGGUGAAAUCCUGUAAUAGUUUCCUCCGAACACCCUGUUGCUGAGACACCUCAACGUCUCAACCUGGUGUGUUUGUACGUAGAGUAAAAGACCCAACUUGUUUAACUACAGGCGUGUUUGCAGUGGUCUUUGGCUUAAGGGCGUUAUAGACUCUCAGUCGGAGAGUCACUGAGAUUCAGUUGAGACUCUCAACUCAGAGCAUGCCUUUCUGAGUCCCUUUUGUGUCUGUCUCUGGGAGCACAACCUAUUCUUGGCUGGGAAGAAACAGGCAUAUUCUUUGUUUCAUUCUCCUUGAACGCCUACCGUGGCCAGUUGCCGUUUUAGUUCUGACUGCAGAGAUGAAUAAAACAGAUUUGUAGGAGAGGCUGGUGAGAAGCCAGCCACAGACAGGCAGAGGCAGGUGGCACAUGUGUACGUCCUGUGUGGAAAAGAGCAGGGCCCUGGGGAAGAACCGUGGC
rnacentral:lncRNA from 1 species